rnacentral:rRNA from 1 species
UACGGGGGGGGGCAAGCGUUGUUCGGAAUUACUGGGCGUAAAGGGCGCGUAGGCGGCCUGCUAAGUCGGACGUGAAAUCCCUCGGCUCAACCGAGGAACUGCGUCCGAUACUGGCAGGCUCGAAUUCGGGAGAGGGAUGUGGAAGUUCCAGGUGUAGCGGUGAAAUGACGUAGAUAUCUGGAGGAACACCGGUGGCGAAGGCGGUUCUGCUGGGCAUUACCUGGACGCUGAGGAGCGAAAGUGUGGGGAGCGAACAGG